CACACCAAUCAGUACACUGGGAAGAGGAGAGACUCGUACUGAGUGGCUUCUCAAUGGGAGAGAAGAGCUGAGAGGAGAGAGGGACGGCGAGAGCGAGAGCGAGCGCACGCGAAAGAGAGAGAGAGAGAGAGAGAGAGAAGUGCCGUCGCAUGUGCAAGACCAAAAAGUGAAGAGGCAAAUUAGCUUGUUAUCCCCCAAAGAAGCUUCACCUUCAGAGAGAAGCGUGAGGAGGCUGAGAAACAGGACGAAGACGUUGCUUCUCUGGUGAUUUAAAGGUGACAUGACAAGCCUCUCGUCCCUCAAAUCCCAGCUAGUUUCUGACAGCGUUUCACAGCUGUGACGGGAGUUUCUGUUGUCGGGUGCCUGACUGUGUUCCGUGGAUUGCAGCCAGGAGGACUUACAACAGAAGAGGGGAUCAAGGGAAGGAGCGGGAACAAAAGUCUCCUCAUCCCCCCUCUGACCCGCAGAUCCGAGCAGGAACUUUUGCUGGGAAGCUCUUUCCCGAGAGCAUGGAUGGAUUUAUGACUAUGUGCUAAGGAUAUCGGAUGAACAGCUGACGGCACGUUUCUUUAACGUUCUCCUCACGGUAUCUCACAGCCGGUGCUCCUGCCAUGUCCUGGCUCCUGUGUCUGUGGAUAAGUGUUAGCUGCUUACUGCUGUGCCACGCCACUUUGUACGAGACCAUCCAACAGCAUCAUGUGACCCGCCCGGGCCGCAACGCCAUACAGAUACUGGAGGGAGGAACAUGUGAGGUCAUCGCAGCACACCGAUGUUGCAACAAGAACCGCAUUGAGGAACGUUCCCAGACCGUCAAGUGCUCGUGUUUACCGGGAAAAGUGGCCGGAACAACACGGAACAAACCCUCCUGUGUAGACGCCUCCAUCGUGAUUGGGAAGUGGUGGUGUGAGAUGGAGCCGUGUCUGGAGGGAGAGGAGUGUAAGACACUACCAGACAACUCCGGCUGGAUGUGUUCCUCUGGGAACAAGAUCAAGACCACGAGGAACACCCAGCCAUAUUCAACUUUUUAGCUCUGAGGGCCACCGAAGCUGGCUCACCAGAAGCUCUGCGGCGUCCUUCUCCUCAUCAAGAUUCAUCCCCGGACCUAACAAAGAGCUCCUUCACAGGCAGUGAAUGUGGAUGCUUUCUGUCAGAAUGGACGAAACCAUUCAUUCAAAGGGGUGUUUGACUGGAUUACCUGUGAAUGAACAAUAAAAGAGGACAUUCUUGGGGAUGAAGACCUGAUUUGCUCAUUCGGUGCCAAGGAAUAUGACAAACAGAAAUAAAGCAGGCUAAUCUGUGUUUUUGAUCAAUGAGCCCAAUACUGCGGACUCGACCGUGUCCAAUUCUUUCAAUUUUCUGCGUUUCUCCUCACCACCUUCCUCUGGUUCUAAACUCAUACAGCUUAGGGGAGUCGUUUACUGGAUUUCAAAUUAUAUUUGAAGACUUGAUGUCCCUAGGUAAACUGGACAAUCCUGAUAUAAGCUGUGAAUGACUGUAUGAAGGAUCAUGACGGAUAAGCACUGGUCUGUGAAAAUGAGGUGGAAAUCGAUAGGAGAUUUUUCCAUCCUGCCAUCAGUUUGUCGUUCUGUGUCCACGCUGGCUUUGGUAACAGACUAGGAGCUCAUGAAGCCCUGCUAUUUCCCUCCACUUCUGAAUCUACCGCUCACCGCUAGUGUCCACAUGCUAUCCAUUUGGGAGUAUCCCUAGAUCAAAGGUCACCUCACUGUCUACACCUACUUGGACCAGAUAUCUUUUUAUUUGUCGGCAUGCUCAAUGUAUUUUGUGGGAGCUUUGUAUUGAAAGUAACUGUAUAUAUUUCUGUACAUAUACAUAUAGAUACAUAUUAAAAGACAUCAUAUGACGAUCUAUCAUGCCCUAAACCUGUUCAGUGGGUUUGAAUUAAGACAUGGUUUUGUUCUCUUGAAUUAAUCGCUGAUUUACAGCUAUCUGUGGAAAUACAUAUUCUCUUGAUGUAAUGGAAAUCUAGCGUUUUUUGCUUGAUAGAGAAUUUGUUCCUUUGCAUCCAUGAUGACAAAAAAAACGGAGGAAAAUUCACUAAACAGUUGCAAAACAAUAUUUCAGCACCAACGUCUUUAGCACUUAAAAAGCCCAGAGCUGUAAGUAUUUAUUGCCAUUUGUUGUUUUUUUUUUGUGCAAACAAACAAGUCUUCAUACAGAUAGACUUAUAAUAGAUUGUGGAUUAUUCACAAAACUCUACUGCUACUUUAGUGCUACCACCGCUGGCAGAAAUCAGAUGGAAAAUACCUUAAUGUACGUUACUGAACGAUCGAAGCAAUAGUACUUCGACAGGUAAUGAGCAAAUAAUGGAGAAGAGCAGAUGUGCGGAGUAGUCGACCCCAUUUGGUGCUGUAUGUUCCCAUUAAAGUAUGUCAAAUUAUAUUUGUGUAUAACGAACAUAGUGCGUUGAAGCAACCAUCAAAUUGGGAAUUGUGCCACGCAGAUUUUCAGUUGCUUUUUUGUAUAGUUGCACAAUUCUGAAUCGAACACUUAACCACAGCAAACAAUGUAAUUAAUUGCCUCUGUCAGUGGGUGCAACUCAUCCUUAGUGAAUUUCCCAAAGAUAUCAGUCUGUCGGCCCAAUAAAAGAGGCCACAGUCACCUGCUGGAACUCAGAUUACAUUUAUAUAUACAGGUCUAACACCUGUCCAUGAUCCAGUUUGUUCUAUGCUGUUCUGAGAAUAGGUAGGCUUCAUUAUGCUUGUGUAGGUUUCAUAAAUACAAUAGAAAACAUUCACUUUGUUAAAGGUGAUAAUGAUGAUAACAAAACACUGAAUCUGUGUCACUGGACAGAAACCUGAAUCGGUUUGGAAAAAUGAAGCCCUAUAUCGGUAGGGUCAGUGAAGUAGGGAUCAUUUGUUUUUAACAAUUACCAUACCUCCACAUGAAUCAUCCGGGAGAUGGCCAUUCAAAAUGUCGCUUUUUAGUUAAUCCGGUUUCAAGGGUUGGCAAAAAAAAGGUGGGCUUCAUUUCUCUUUACUGGCAUUAGCAACUACAGUAGCUUUGGUAGAUAAACAUGCAGCCUUAUUAGUAGCAAAUCGAUAUUAAAAAUGGUUUUCUAUAAA